rnacentral:misc_RNA from 1 species
GCAGAAGGAUCAUUAGAGAAGAUCUGGGCAGGCCAUACGGACGCCAAAAAGUGUCCCUGGCCGCCUACACCCCCGAUACAUCCACAAACCCGUGUGCACUGUCUUGGAGAAAGGCUUCAGAGAAGUUUUCAGUGGCCUCUCUUGGGGUCUUUAUUCGCUACAAACUCGAAUGGUUAGUAUGAACGUGGAACUUGGUUGGACCGUCACUGGCCAACAAACGAUACACAACUUUCGACAACGGAUCUCUUGGUUCUCCCA